rnacentral:rRNA from 3 species
ACGGGGAAUUAGGGUUCUAU